rnacentral:rRNA from 1 species
AAAUUGAAGAGUUUGAUCAUGGCUCAGAUUGAACGCUGGCGGCAGGCCUAACACAUGCAAGUCGAGCGGUAGCACAGAGAGCUUGCUCUCGGGUGACGAGCGGCGGACGGGUGAGUAAUGUCUGGGAAACUGCCUGAUGGAGGGGGAUAACUACUGGAAACGAUAGCUAAUACCGCAUAACGUCGCAAGACCAAAGUGGGGGACCUUCGGGCCUCAUGCCAUCAGAUGUGCCCAGAUGGGAUUAGCUGGUAGGUGGGGUAACGGCUCACCUAGGCGACGAUCCCUAGCUGGUCUGAGAGGAUGACCAGCCACACUGGAACUGAGACACGGUCCAGACU